rnacentral:lncRNA from 1 species
AAUGGUUCAAAAGAAGAAACAACUCAGAAAAAUACAUAAGAAGCUGGUGGGAACAUCACAUAAACCGUAUGUUGAACUUCUCCAGGAGUGAGUCAGUGCAGCUGCACAUGCCUCAGCCUAUAAAGCCAGCACUUCCUGCCCAGACCAUCACUGGACUGAUAGACAGGCUCAACUGCUUCCAAGGCGAGUAUCAGUCCACUGAUGGGAACACAGUAUAG